GCUUACGGCCAUACCAGCCUGGGUACGCCCGAUCGCGCCUGAUCUCGGAAGCUAAGCAGGGUCGGGCCUGGUUAGUACCUGGAUGGGAGACCGCCUGGGAAUACCAGGUGCUAUAAGCA
rnacentral:rRNA from 1 species